rnacentral:rRNA from 1 species
CAGCCGCCACGGUAAUACGUAGGUCCCGAGCGUUGUCCGGAUUUAUUGGGCGUAAAGCGAGCGCAGGCGGUUAGAUAAGUCUGAAGUUAAAGGCUGUGGCUUAACCAUAGUACGCUUUGGAAACUGUUUAACUUGAGUGCAAGAGGGGAGAGUGGAAUUCCAUGUGUAGCGGUGAAAUGCGUAGAUAUAUGGAGGAACACCGGUGGCGAAAGCGGCUCUCUGGCUUGUAACUGACGCUGAGGCUCGAAAGCGUGGGGAGCAAACAGGAUUAGAUACCCCUGUAGUCCCGUCUCUUAUACAC